GUCGAGCGGAUGAAGGGAGCUUGCUCCCUGAUUCAGCGGCGGACGGGUGAGUAAUGCCUAGGAAUCUGCCUGGUAGUGGGGGACAACGUCUCGAAAGGGACGCUAAUACCGCAUACGUCCUACGGGAGAAAGUGGGGGAUCUUCGGACCUCACGCUAUCAGAUGAGCCUAGGUCGGAUUAGCUAGUUGGUGAGGUAAUGGCUCACCAAGGCGACGAUCCGUAACUGGUCUGAGAGGAUGAUCAGUCACACUGGAACUGAGACACGGUCCAGACUCCUACGGGAGGCAGCAGUGGGGAAUAUUGGACAAUGGGCGAAAGCCUGAUCCAGCCAUGCCGCGUGUGUGAAGAAGGUCUUCGGAUUGUAAAGCACUUUAAGUUGGGAGGAAGGGCAGUAAAUUAAUACUUUGCUGUUUUGACGUUACCGACAGAAUAAGCACCGGCUAACUCUGUGCCAGCAGCCGCGGUAAUACAGAGGGUGCAAGCGUUAAUCGGAAUUACUGGGCGUAAAGCGCGCGUAGGUGGUUUGUUAAGUUGAAUGUGAAAUCCCCGGGCUCAACCUGGGAACUGCAUCCAAAACUGGCGAGCUAGAGUAGGGCAGAGGGUGGUGGAAUUUCCUGUGUAGCGGUGAAAUGCGUAGAUAUAGGAAGGAACACCAGUGGCGAAGGCGACCACCUGGGCUCAUACUGACACUGAGGUG
rnacentral:rRNA from 1 species